GCUGUGAAGAUGCAGUGUACCCGCGGCAAGACGGAAAGACCCCGUGAACCUUUACUAUAGCUUGACACUGAACAUUGAGCCUUGAUGUGUAGGAUAGGUGGGAGGCUUUGAAGCGUGGACGCCAGUCUGCGUGGAGCCGACCUUGAAAUACCACCCUUUAAUGUUUGAUGUUCUAACGUGGAUCCGUAAUCCGGGUUGCGGACAGUGUCUGGUGGGUAGUUUGACUGGGGCGGUCUCCUCCUAAAGAGUAACGGAGGAGCACGAAGGUUGGCUAAUCCUGGUCGGACAUCAGGAGGUUAGUGCAAUGGCAUAAGCCAGCUUGACUGCGAGCGUGACGGCGCGAGCAGGUGCGAAAGCAGGUCAUAGUGAUCCGGUGGUUCUGAAUGGAAGGGCCAUCGCUCAACGGAUAAAAGGUACUCCGGGGAUAACAGGCUGAUACCGCCCAAGAGUUCAUAUCGACGGCGGUGUUUGGCACCUCGAUGUCGGCUCAUCACAUCCUGGGGCUGAAGUAGGUCCCAAGGGUAUGGCUGUUCGCCAUUUAAAGUGGUACGCGAGCUGGGUUUAGAACGUCGUGAGACAGUUCGGUCCCUAUCUGCCGUGGGCGCUGGAGAACUGAGGGGGGCUGCUCCUAGUACGAGAGGACCGGAGUGGACGCAUCACUGGUGUUCGGGUUGUCAUGCCAAUGGCACUGCCCGGUAGCUAAAUGCGGAAGAGAUAAGUGCUGAAAGCAUCUAAGCACGAAACUUGCCCCGA
rnacentral:rRNA from 1 species